AGAAAGGCAAUGAAGAGAAGAGUAGGCUGCGGAACUUUCCACAGAGAGCCUUUGCGUGGUGGAAAAAGGCGAAGGGGAACCGGCUGAAGAUGGUCUCGGAGCCGCGCGGGCGAAAUCUUUUAGUUCGCGACGGGUUCACCCGUUACAGUGACAGGCAUUUGAGCGCCAGAUGCCGGUUGAGGCCCUUUUUACAGGGUGAAGCAAGGUGGUACCACGAAGCUGUUAUGCUCUCGUCCUUGAU
rnacentral:ncRNA from 1 species